rnacentral:rRNA from 1 species
GAUGAACGCUAGCGGCAGGCCUAACACAUGCAAGUCGAGGGGUAGAGGAAGCUUGCUUCCUUGAGACCGGCGCACGGGUGCGUAACGCGUAUGCAAUCUACCUUUUACAGAGGGAUAGCCCAGAGAAAUUUGGAUUAAUACCUCAUAGUAUAUAUCAUUCGCAUGUUUGGUAUAUUAAAGUUCAAACGGUAAAAGAUGAGCAUGCGUCCCAUUAGUUAGUUGGUAAGGUAACGGCUUACCAAGACGAUGAUGGGUAGGGGUCCUGAGAGGGAGAUCCCCCACACUGGUACUGGAACACGGACCAGACUCCUACGGGAGGCAGCAGUGAGGAAUAUUGGUCAAUGGACGCAAGUCUGAACCCGCCAUGCCGCGUGCAGGAAGACGGUCCUAUGGAUUGUAAACUGCUUUUGUACGGGAAGAAACACUCCUACGUGUAGGAGCCUGACGGUACCGUAAGAAUAAGGAUCGGCUAACUCCGUGCCAGCAGCCGCGGUAAUAC